rnacentral:rRNA from 1 species
GACGAACGCUGGCGGCGUGCUUAACACAUGCAAGUCGAACGGAAAGGCCCUGCUUUUGUGGGGUGCUCGAGUGGCGAACGGGUGAGUAACACGUGAGUAACCUGCCCUUGACUUUGGGAUAACUUCAGGAAACUGGGGCUAAUACCGGAUAGGAGCUCCUGCCGCAUGGUGGGGGUUGGAAAGUUUCGGCGGUUGGGGAUGGACUCGCGGCUUAUCAGCUUGUUGGUGGGGUAGUGGCUUACCCAGGCUUUGACGGGUAGCCGGCCUGAGAGGGUGACCGGCCACAUUGGGACUGAGAUGAGGCCCAGACUGCUACGGGAGGCAGCAGUGGGGAAUAUUGCACAAUGGGCGGAAGCCUGAUGCAGCAACGCCGCGUGCGGGAUGACGGCCUUCGGGUUGUAAACCGCUUUCGCCUGUGACGAAGCGUGAGUGACGGUAAUGGGUAAAGAAGCACCGGCUAACUACGUG